AUCUCUAAAAAAUUAUAUAAAAAAGGAGUCAAUAUCCCAUUAUCGCUCUUCCUGAAGCGCAUAAAGGUGUUAACUCGCAACGUUUCUGCAAGAAGGUGUCAACAGAGUAGUUAACAUCUUUUUGCAGAACACGCAGAAGCAUUAUUAUUUAGCACGUGUUCCACCGUACUGUUGUAUUUGUUUUUGGUGCAAAUCUGUUUUGGUGAAGAUAAAAUAUUAAAUAUUUCUAACCUAAUUUUGAUCGUAAUAUUAGUGAGAGGAUGAACCAAAAUAGCAGAACCAACCGUAUCUUAGCGCUGGCACUUCGGGAAUAUCAAGAAGAGGAACCGUUUCAAGAUUCUGGUUCUGAAUAUAUUCCUGAAACAAACCAUGAUAGGAGAUAUUAUCACCGCCUAUCCAGCUUAGCUUUUUGUUUUCAGAAUUUAGUUCAUCUGAGGAAGAUAUCUUUUGGAUACUGGAAAUUCUUGUAAUAUUAAAAGUACUUAUAAAUCUGUUCAAGCACUCGACAAGGAAAACGACUAUACAGAUGAAGGUCUUCUAAUUACUCAGGAAAUUGGGAACAACAAUGAAAAUAAAUGUUUUUUCCUGCUGAAAAACUCAACUUUGAAAUACAAGGUAAUUUUUUUUGAGGAAAAACUAAUUCUAGAAUAGUGAUUUUUAAGAAUAAUUUAAAAUUUUUAUAUAUGCAAAAAAUAAUUUCUUUUGUUGAAGAUAGACAGAACGUUGAAGAUAUGGAAGUGGUCAAGAUCAAGAUCAUCAUACAAGAUUCGAUUCGAACAAAAAAAAAAUCUAGAAAAGUUAGACCAAAACCAGAAACUUGGAAGAGAAAUGAAAAAAAAUAAUAAGGCUGCUGGAAAAUCAUAUACAGACUAUAAGGAUUAGGUGCAGCCAGCUAAAGUGCCAAGUGUAGGUAAGAUAUUGUGUAAAGAAAAUUGUCGCCUAAAAUGCGAUUUACGUUUCACGGAUGAAGACAGAAGCUUACUGUUUAACCAGUAUAUGUAUUACAAACUGACGAGAAAAAUUUAUACUUAUUUAGUUUGAUGAAACCCACUGAAGUAAAGGGGCCCACAUUACAUGCAGUUCGCUCCAAAUCUUACGAGUAUUUUUUUUAAAUAAAUGGAGAGUCUCGAAAGGUUUGUAAAGAUGCGGUCUUAUCUAUGCUUGACAUUGGCAGAAAAAAAUUUGAUUUGAUUCGAAAUCAAAUAAUAGCUGGUAAAACAACUCCAAAAAGAGAUAAAAAAGGUCAUCACCAUAAUCGGCCUAAAGCCAUACCUGCAGAAACCAAAACGAUUGUUCAUGAACAUAUCAAGUCUUUCCCAGCAAAAAUGUCCCACUAUUCUCGUAAUAAGAACCCUUCUCGGAACAAUUCUAUUGUACAGAAAAAUAUUUGUUGAAGAUUUCAACUUAGGAUUUGGUACUCCACGAUCGGAUACUUGCAAAGUGUGCGACUCUAGUGAAGCAACAGAUAAACAUUUUGCGAAAUUUAAGAUAGCCUUUGAACAACAAAAAAAAGACCGGGAGCUGGCCAAAGCUAAUAACAAUGUUCUACACAUUACUUUUGACAUGCAGAAAACUAUGCCGUUGCCCAAAAUUUCAACUAGCAUUGCAUUUUAUUUGAGACAGAUAUGGCUUCACAACUUAGGAGUGCACGUUAUUAGCACAAACCAGAGAAACGGCAGGGGGUAUUUUCAUCUUUGGACAGAAGACAAGGGAGGUCGUGGACCUGAGGAGAUUGGAAGUUUCCUGAAGUGGGCCACACAUUUAUGGAUUCUGAUCGAGAUGUUGCAGCUGUUGAAAAUGAAGUAAGAAAACAUUAGAAUAUUUAUACAGUUGAUCAGUAUGUAAACACCAUGGUAGAUUAUAGAAAAAAAAAACUCCAUUUCAAAUCAUAAGAAUAGAGGAUAAGUUUUUGGCUAUUAAACAAUUGGCUAAUAAAUUAAAAUUAGUAAAAAAAAAAAUCAGAGUGGUGAAAAAAUAGUUUUUAAGGAUGUAACGUGGAUAAAAAUUUCAAAAUUUGGUAAAACAAAGAUAUUCCCUAAGUGAAGAAGAAAGUUGGAAAGAAGUUUCCAUUCUAAAAGGCAAAGGUACUACAACUCGCCAGUCAACUUCAACUACAUGUGAGCUAUUAUCGCCCGUUGAUAAAAGUAGGCUGAUAGCAUCUAAAAAAUGCGAAAAUAUCCAACAGCAAAUGGCAUACAUUCCUGAGAUCUUCCGGGCUUUUUACCUUGGCCUCAGAAAAGAAGACGAAGAUUAACUAUACUCCU
rnacentral:lncRNA from 1 species